rnacentral:rRNA from 1 species
AUACUAGAGUAGCACUCGCAUAUCAAUAAGCGGAGGAAAAGAAACUAACAAGGAUUCCCCUAGUAACGGCGAGUGAAGCGGGAAGAGCUCAAAUUUGAAAUCUUAAAGGGUUUCCCUUUACGAAUUGUAGUUUAAAGAAGUGUUUUCUGUUGAGGUUUUGGUAAAAGUUCUUUGGAAUAGGACAUCAUAGAGGGUGAGAAUCCCGUAUUUGACCUUUACUUUCAACUUUGUGAUACACUUUCAAAGAGUCGGACUGUCUGGGAAUGCAGUCCAAAAUGGGUGGUAAAUUUCAUCUAAAGCUAAAUAUUGGCGAGAGACCGAUAGCGAACAAGUACCGUGAGGGAAAGAUGAAAAGAACUUUGAAAAGAGAGUUAAACAGUACGUGAAAUUGUCAAAAGGGAAGCGUUUGACACCAGUGUUGUUUUUCUGAAAAUCAAUUAAAGAACUGUUUAUGCUAAGCUUGUUUAGACUUUAUCAGCUAAUCUGUUUAGUUUUGAGCUUUUCUUUAAUGCACUUUUCAGUUAACAAGUCAACAUCAAUUUCUUUUGCUGUAAAAAAGCUUGAGGAAGGUGGCUUGAGAUUCGUCUUAAGUGUUUAUAGCCUCUUGCCUAUGCAGUCGGAGAGAUUGAGGUCUGCAGCGUAGAUCCUUCGGGGCUAAAUGCAUUUGUGCUAAGUUAUAGCAUUUUAUAGACAACUUGUUGACUAUGAUUUGUCUUGUAGCUUACUCGCUUAUGUUAUUUUACCUACGCUUAGGAUGUUGAACUACUGAGACAUAGA